rnacentral:rRNA from 1 species
UACGUAGGGGGCAAGCGUUGUCCGGAUUUAUUGGGCGUAAAGAGCGUGUAGGCGGCCAUACAGGUCAGCUGUGAAAACUCGAGGCUCAACCUCGAGACGUCGGUUGAAACCGUAUGGCUAGAGUCCGGAAGAGGAGAGUGGAAUUCCUGGUGUAGCGGUGAAAUGCGCAGAUAUCAGGAGGAACACCGGUGGCGAAGGCGGGUCUCUGGGAAGUAACUGACGCUGAGAAGCGAAAGCAUGGGUAGCAAACAGG